rnacentral:sRNA from 1 species
UAUGGCCUCCUUUGUUCCCAUUUCAGGGUUCCACAAACUGUCUUGCAUGUGUGUGUGUGUCUGGUUACCCCAACCUUCUGUGAAGAUAAAGCUGGGCCUGUCGAAGGAUGACAGGGAUGUGCUGCCAGGUUGCUAUAGAAACCCAGGCUCUGCCUCUUGCACCUUGAGGGGGUGGGAGGGGCUGGUCUCCUCCCUCCAGGCUGAACCCCACUUCCUCGGCAGGACCCCAGUCUCAGCAGCCUCCUGAUUUCAUAACCAGGCCGGACCACGUGCAAUAGGGUGGAAACCAAACUGCUCCAUGCCGCGUUAUUUAAAAGAAAGGCAGAGUUUGUGGUGGCUUUUUUUUUUUUUUUUUGGAUUGUUUGUAAUUUUUUUUAAUAAAAGUAUUUUGGAAG